UACGGAGGGGGCAAGCGUUGUUCGGAAUUACUGGGCGUAAAGGGCGCGCAGGCGGCUGCUCAAGUCAGGCGUGAAAGGCCUGGGCUCAACCCGGGAAUUGCGCUUGAGACUGGGCUGGCUUGAGUGCGGGAGAGGAUGGUGGAAUUCCCAGUGUAGAGGUGAAAUUCGUAGAUAUUGGGAAGAACACCGAUGGCGAAGGCAGCCUCCUGGGCCAGCACGUGACGCUCAUGCACGAAAAGCGUGGGGAGCAAACAGGAUUAGAACCGUACCCGUACGUAGAUCCAA
rnacentral:rRNA from 1 species